UACACCUUUAAAACACUUUUUCAUCCAUCGGCUUAUGGGUGACACAUGAGAUGUCUUAUCCUUGGUUUGUCGAAUUAUAGACCGAACAAACAGGGACUGGCAUCCACUUUUCCUAAAGAAAAAUUAAAGAAAAAGAAUGAAAAUGUGUUACACCUCUAACACAUAAUUUACAUACAAAGGACUAAGCUUAUGAUUAACGUUGUUAUUAAGUAUUAAAAUAAAUAACAACCUUAAUAAACAGUUAUUAUAGCUCUUUUUAGGGUAUAAGAACUGCUUUUAACUUAUGGCAAACAAAUAGAUGAUUUUUAAUAAAUAUGCAUUCUAGAGGUAGUUAUACAAAAUUCUCGUUUAGAUGGACACAUUAAGCAUUUAAGGGCAGCUAGUACUAGCUAAUAACUGCAUAAAUAAUAGUCUGUUAUUGGCAUUCAAUCGCAAAAAAAACAAGUGUUUGCCGACUCGCUUUCAGAUUCCAAUUACCAUAUUGCACAAUUAUAUUUAAAAUAAUAUUUUUUAUAUUCAUAAUUUAUUGAGACAUGUUAUUAUAUAAAUGCACAUUAUUUUCUUAGAAAAACGAAAAUAAGCCAACGAAAAAAAAAACUGUCAAAAGUUAUAUUUUGCUCGCGUGCGGCGCGCGAACCCUGAAUGCGGGCAGCCUAUAGGUCGAGGUCUUUACCCAUCGCGCGCACAGAGCGACUACCUUCUGAGAGGAGUUAUCCUGAGAGUCAAUUGGCAUCUGAUUGUUCAGCUACCUAUACCCCAAAGGCUCUUUUAGGAGCCCUUUCACAGUACGUCUUUGACUUUUUUAUACCUGUAUGCACCAAAGGCUCUCUUAAGAGCCCAUUCACAAAGCGUCUUUGGCUUUUUCACCUAAAUAAACUUUUAAGUACCCCUUACAGAACUUCAUUGGCAUAACGACACCAACGUUUUCCCACUGAAGACGACAAGGGGCAAGGCCUUGUUGUAGAGUAAUGGAUUCCAAAUCUAAGAGGCAGCGAUACACAAGGCAGUGGAAAUAUGCACGAAGAUCAUUGGAUGAAGGUCCUGUGGAGAAGGAACGAUUAGAUCAUCCAUUAACACCUCAAGAAGGAUAUGCUGAAAGAAUGGACAUUGAUGACGACAUCUCAAGUUCUGUUGGUACUGUUGAUGUUGGUUUCAUUGGGAGUUGCAGUUCUGGACAUGAGACUGUGAACAAUGCGCUCAAUGAGGAAACUGAGAGUGUAAAUGAAAUGGCCUCAACUUCACUCCCAACAUUUCUGCAAGAAUGGUCAAUAAAGCACAACAUCACGCAUAAUGCUUUAGAUGAUCUCCUGAAAGGACUUAAAAGAAAUGGACACCCAGAGCUCCCAUCCACAGCAAGGACAUUGCUGAAAACUCCAAGGACUGUUACAUCAUCACAAAAGUCAGGAAUGGAGUGUGUUCAUUUUAAUUUAAGAGAGAGCCUUAGUGACCUGUUAAAACGUUAUCCGACAGAGAUGAUUGAACGAGUGAGUACACUGGAGCUAUCAUUUAAUAUUGAUGGCCUACCCAUUUUUAAAAGCAGCAGGACACAUCUUUGGCCCAUCCUCUGUGCUAUUCACCUAAACCCCAUAAGUGUUUUUCCUGUCACACUGACACUUGGUCCCACCAAACCAAAAGAUCUGGAAUUUGCUGAGGAAGCCAUUAAUGACAUCCAAGAGCUCCUUGACAAUGGUCUAGAUGGAAAAAAUAUUAGGAUCAGAUGCUUUGUGUGUGAUGCACCAGCAAGAGCAAUGGUGAAGAAGAUCAAGCAGUAUUCUGGGUAUUUUGGAUGUGACAAAUGCACUCAGAAAGGCACAUGGAUCUCUGGGCGAGUAACUUACCCAGAGGUAGACAAUCUCACUCUGCGCACCAAUGAAGCAUUUCGUGCUGAAAUGGCCAUACGUCAGGAAAAUCAGACUGCGCCAGUGUCUCCCUUUUUGAGGCUCCCGUUGGAUAUGAUACAACAAUUUCCAAUUGACUACAUGCACCAAGCCUGCCUGGGUGUUAUGAAGAAGCUAAUCACAGAGUGGGUUAGAGGAGACAGAAAAGUAAGACUGUCUGCGGGGCAAAUAAAUGAGGUGACGCAAAGGCUGCUGUCACUCAGAAGCGCCAUUCCAAACUGUUUUGUCAGAAAACCUCGGAAUCUAGAGGACAUUGAUAGGUGGAAGGCAACAGAACUGCGCCAGUUUGCUGUUUAUACAGGCAAGAUCGUGUUGAAGGGCAUUUUGAGUGACCAUCUUUACGACCAUUUCAUGGCAUUCAGUGUUGCCUUGAGUCUUCUGCUUUGUCCAACAUUGGCAAGGGAACACAACAGAUACAGCAAAGAGCUAAUGCAAUACUUCAUUGCGAAAACAAAAGAACUGUAUGGCGACCACUUUCUUGUGUACAACAUCCAUUCAAUGGUACAUCUAUCGGAAGAGGCAAUGGCUUUUGGCAGCCUUGAUGCAUGCAGUGCAUUCCCAUUCGAGAAUUAUCUCGGUAAGCUAAAACGGCUUGUAAGGUCUGGAAAGCAGCCCCUUGUUCAAUUGGCCAAACGUCUCACAGAGAUGUCCACUUCUCCUCUCUCUGUGGUGACCUCCAGGUCGAAAACCAAAAGGCCAAAUAAUGCAUUUAUUCUUGCUGAAGGAAAGUGCUGUGAGGCCAUUGAAGAGAGAAAUGAAUCGGAUGAUUCAGGUACUCCGUUGCUGAUGUGCAGAUGUUUUGAAAGAUCUGAACCACUUUUCAGAGAUCCAGUAGACUCAAGAACACUUGGAUGUUUAAAAGUCCAAAGAAGAUAUUCAGUGAUGAAGCUCAUACCAGAACGCAAGCUGACAAGAAUGGCCAUAAUGAUAGAAAAAGGCCAGGAGUUGAUUUUCUUGGCAGUCCUGCAUGAACACUGAGCACAGGAAGAAUCUCUCUACCUCUCUCUCUCUCUCCACUGGGACAGUCUAUAGGCAUCACAUUUAAGGACAUCAUUGACAGCAAGGACAGACAUUAAGAUGGCCACAAAACAGUAUGCAGUGGUGGAAUUUUCAGACGACAAUUCGGUCGAAAUUGUCCCCACCUCAUGGUUGGAGGAGAGCAAAG